GAUGAAGAACGCAGCGAAAUGCGAUAAGUAAUGUGAAUUGCAGAAUUCAGUGAAUCAUCGAAUCUUUGAACGCACAUUGCGCCCGCCAGUAUUCUGGCGGGCAUGCCUGUUCGAGCGUCAUUUCAACCCUCAAGCACAGCUUGGUGUUGGGACUAGCGUUAAUUCGCGUUCCCCAAAUUGAUUGGCGGUCACGUCGAGCUUCCAUAGCGUAGUAGUAAAACCCUCGUUACUGGUAAUCGUCGCGGCCACGCCGUUAAACCCCAACUUCUGAAUGUUGACCUCGGAUCAGGUAGGAAUACCCGCUGAACUUAAGCAUAUCAAUAAGCGGAGGA
rnacentral:misc_RNA from 1 species